AAACCGUUACCCUUACUGAGUUUAGUAAAGGUAACGGUUCUG
rnacentral:pre_miRNA from 1 species